rnacentral:rRNA from 1 species
CAGGCCUAACACAUGCAAGUCGAACGAGGCAGCGGCCUUCGGGCCGGUGUCGAGUGGCGAACGGGUGAGUAACACGUGAGGAACCUGCCCCGGAGACCGGGAUAACCAGGGGAAACUCUGGCUAAUACCGGAUGCCCUCGGAUGGUCGCAUGGCCAACCGAGGAAACGCUCCGGUGCUCCGGGAGGGCCUCGCGGCCUAUCAGCUUGUUGGUGGGGUAACGGCCCACCAAGGCAUCGACGGGUAGCUGGUCUGAGAGGACGAUCAGCCACACUGGGACUGAGACACGGCCCAGACUCCUACGGGAGGCAGCAGUGGGGAAUAUUGCGCAAUGGGCGAAAGCCUGACGCAGCAACGCCGCGUGGGGGAUGACGGCCUUCGGGUUGUAAACCCCUUUCAGCAGGGACGAAAAUGACGGUACCUGCAGAAGAAGCCCCGGCCAACUACGUGCCAGCAGCCGCGGUAACACGUAGGGGGCAAGCGUUGUCCGGAUUUAUUGGGCGUAAAGAGCUCGUAGGCGGUUGCGUAAGUCGGAUGUGAAAACUCAGGGCUCAACCCGGAGACGCCAUCCGAUACUGCGCUGACUAGAGUCCGGUAGGGGAGCAUGGAAUUCCUGGUGUAGCGGUGAAAUGCGCAGAUAUCAGGAGGAACACCAGUGGCGAAGGCGGUGCUCUGGGCCGGUACUGACGCUGAGGAGCGAAAGCGUGGGUAGCGAACAGGAUUAGAUACCC